rnacentral:lncRNA from 1 species
UUGAACAAUAAAUUAGAGACCCUACUGCCAUCUAAACUAAUUACUAUGGGCAAUAAUCAGCAUUAUUCAAGAAAAAUAUAAACAAGUAUUUAUUCUACACGACUAUAUAUAGGGCGUAAAGGGGGAGAAGAGGCCCACAGAAAUGCUCUUUGUCUGUAGAUGGAUUUGAAAUGGCAUAAUUGAGCCUUAUCCAAGAAUAUAAUAUAUUCCAUUACCAAAUAAAUUCAAGAAUUUUGCUUGCUUUAAGAUAAUAUUGGGGACUCAUUGUUCAAUGCUUAAUUUAUUAGAUAGACGUUAUUUACUCAAAUAGAGUUUUUAACAAAUAUAAUCAUGUCUAUUCACUAUGUUAAAAUUUGGAUUAUUGAUUUAAAAAUAAUUUUUAAAAUAGAUGAAUGUGUGUUGUCAAAUCUGUAUUGUUGAUCAAGAUUGUGAAAAAUAUUAUACAAAUAACAUGAUUGAAGAUAUAUAGUGAAUAUUCAUGAUUAUAAUAAUUAAACCUUCCUCAUAGAGUAAACCCUAAUUGGAUUGAUAGAUUAACAUAGUGAACAGUCAUGAUUAUAAUAAAUAAAAACCACCUCAUAAAGUAAACCCUAAUUGGAUUAAGAGAGUAAUAUAUUCAUCAAUCGAUAACAUUGCCUGUUUGAUAGAGAUUCUUUAAAAUUUUAAUUUUUUUCAAACUCAUUUUUGAUUAUUCAUUUUUUUCAAUAAAACAAUUUUACUAUGAACUCCUGACUUUUCUUUACUUUUUUAGCAACACGUUCUUUAAAAAAAAUCAAUUUUCACAAAUUUAUCAUCCAAUUUUUAUUUUUUAUUUUUUAUUUUUUUAUCUCUCUCUCUCUCUCUAGGGUUGUAUCCGCCGACUGAAGAAGACAAAAGACAGGGUCAAGCCCAAAAUCAUACAAAGCACUAUGACGGACAAAAUAAAGAUAAUUCAUUAUUGAAUUUCAACCUUACACUGUGAAUGAGACUCGAAUAAUCUAAGUCAAUAACUAUAUUAAAGCUUUUCUUUUCAUGGUAUGAGUAAUGAAAAAAGAAGCAAAAAUUAUAGAGGGAUGUAAUUUGUAAACAAAUAUCUAACUAUUUAACUUAUAACUUUCCGUGCAAGUUUGAUUAAUUUUUUUAUAGAAAUCUUGACACAUCUAUAAUUUUUAUAAUGUGCAAGGACAAAAGUUGAAUUUAAUUUCUUUGCUGGUUUGAUACUUAUAAACCACUUCAUUUAAUAAUUAUACUUUACAGAGAAAGCGUAUUAUUUUAAUCAAACUUGAGCCUUCAAUUCAAAUCAUAGUACAAGUUUGACCCAAAUUUGCAAACAAAGGAGAAUUCACUGUUUUGGGCUUUAUAAUAUGAUUUGAGAACAGUGUGUUUGAAUUAAUAGCUUAGUAGUUUUGAGCAUGUUAGCUGCCGCUUAGAAGUUUUCUAGAAUGUAAGACCUAUUUUCUAAAGUAGUAGUUUUGUUAGCCAAAAACGUGUUUUGAAUAAAUAAUAUUUCUCAAAAUAAGUAACGUAAGAGACUACGAGUACAAUCAUAUGUGUUCUUUAGAUUUAGAAUAAAUAAUAGAAAAAUAAAUUUCACAAGAAAAUAAACUUGAGUAUCAAAAAACGAUAAGGG